rnacentral:sRNA from 1 species
GCUGGGCAUGGUGGCAUGUGCCUGUAAUCCCAGCAGCUCAGGAGGCUAAGACAGGAGGAUCACAAGUUCAUAGCCAGCCUCAGCAAUUUAGUGAGGCCCUAAGCAAUUUAGAGAGACCUUGUCUCAA